UUUUACCCAAGCCUAGCGUUAGCAUUCUUUCUAUUUUGUGCUCGUAGUGUUUGGAUGCAGAAAAGAAAAUACCUGUAAUUUCAUGGUUUCAAGAGGAUAAAAAACGGAAUAUCUAUUCCUAAAAAAUGUAUAGCGUCGUUGAAUUUAGUGAGGAUGACAGCGUCGCUAUUGUGCGCUCGUCUUGGAUUUCACCCACUAAGAAACAUAGUGCUUGGCCUCCAUUUAAAAAUUCCGAAAAGAUCAAGAAAUGUCUUACGGGCACAAUUUUAGAUGAUGACACGUGGAAUGUUUUUGGAAUUCGACGCAUUUUUUAUGUAACUGAUGACCUUCUCAGUGCUAGAAAGAAAUGUAAAGAAGCCGAACUUAAUUCC